UUGUUGAUCGAUCUGGCAAAUAUAAUUCCAAUCCAUGGGAUAACAAUUUUCUUGCGAGCUGUUUUAAAACGAAUGUAAAUCGUUUGUUUGCUAACUAAUAUCAUAUAUGUAGGUUUGGAUUAGUCCAUUGGAUUGGAAUAUUGAAUAAAAACUCUAUACCUUUUGUCGUGAACAGUUAAGUCCGGUUUUGUACCAACAAGAACGCCAUCUUAAAUUGCCGUUUUAGAGCAUACGUCGAUCACUUUUUUAACAAUUCCGUAAAAAAAAUCAGCAGCUUAUAUACACUUUUCAAGCUUUUAUGUCAUUAAUUGAUUGCUUCUUCUAAUAACCAGUGAAUGGCAGUUGGAGCCUGUGGUCUUCCUGGCAGCCAUGCAGCGUGACAUGUGGAGGGGGGCACAGGACACGAGCUCGCACAUGUUAUAAUCCAGCGCCAAAACGGAACGGAAAGGAUUGCCCUGGGACAAAUAUCUCUACAGAGAGAUGCAAUUUUCACAAAUGUAAAGAUACAAUGGUACUGCAUCCGUAUGAACCAGUCGGUUGUUUCAAAGACGAUUAUCCACGCGCUCUACCAGUAUUAGUCAGAAAGUACUCUGUCAACGAGACAGAUUUGGCCAAUUCAUUCGCCGAGAUAAUUCAAGCGUGUGCUACUAAUGUGUAUGAGAAUGGCUUCCGGUAUUUUGGCGUCGAAUAUCGCCACGAGUGCUGGAGUGGGGUGAACGGUGACAAGACAUAUAACAGACAUGGGCGAUCCGACAAUUGUUUAUGGAAUUAUAGCGUGGGAGAUAGAUGGACCAUAUUUGUUUACCGCUUUGUUGAAGUGAACGGCAGUUGGAGCCAGUGGUCGUCAUGGAAACCAUGCAGUGUAACGUGUGGAGGGGGACACAG